UCUUAUCUGAGUGUCCCGCGGGGCCCGAAGCGUUUACUUUGAAAAAAUUAGAGUGUUCAAAGCAGGCCCGAGCCGCCUGGAUACCGCAGCUAGGA
rnacentral:miRNA from 1 species